rnacentral:rRNA from 1 species
AACUGCCCGAAAGGGUGGCUAAUACCGCAGAUGUUGCGACUUCGGUGUCGCAACUGAACUUCCGGGGUUCGGAGAGGGGCCUGCGUCCGAUUAGCUAGUUGGUGGGGUAACGGCCUACCAAGGCGACGAUCGGUAGCUGGUCUGAGAGGAUGAUCAGCCAGACUGGGACUGCGAACGGCCCAGACUCCUACGGGAGGCAGCAGUUAGGAAUUUUAGGCAAUGGGCGAAAGCCUGACCCAGCAACGCCGCGUGGGUGAUGAAGGCCCUCGGGUCGUAAAGCCCUUUUCCAGGGGAAGAUAGUGACGGUACCCUGGGAAUCAGCCCCGGCUAACUACGUGCCAGCAGCCGCGGUAAUACGUAGGGGGCAAGCGUUGUCCGGAUUUAUUGGGCGUAAAGCGCUCGCAGGUGGUCCGUUGCGUCGUGCGUGAAAGACCCCGGCUCAACUGGGGAGGGUCGUGCGAUACGGGCGGACUAGAGGCCAGUAGGGGGAUGCGGAAUUCCGGGUGUAGUGGUGGAAUGCGUAGAGAUCCGGAGGAACACCAGCGGCGAAGGCGGCAUCCUGGACUGGUCCUGACACUCAGGAGCGAAAGCGUGGGGAGCGAUCCGGAUUAGAUACCCGGGUAGUCCACGCUGUAAACGAUGAGUACUAGGUGUUGGGGGUAUCGACCCCCUCAGUGCCGAAGCAAACGCGAUAAGUACUCCGCCUGGGGACUACGGCCGCAAGGCUAAAACUCAAAGGAAUUGACGGGGGCCC